AUUGAACGCUGGCGGCAUGCCUUACACAUGCAAGUCGAACGGCAGCAUGGAGAGCUUGCUCUCUGAUGGCGAGUGGCGAACGGGUGAGUAAUGCAUCGGAACGUACCGUGUAAUGGGGGAUAACGUAGCGAAAGUUACGCUAAUACCGCAUACGACCUGAGGGUGAAAGAAGGGGAUCGCAAGACCUUGCGUUAUACGAGCGGCCGAUGUCAGAUUAGCUAGUUGGUGGGGUAAAGGCCUACCAAGCCGACGAUCUGUAGCUGGUCUGAGAGGACGACCAGCCACACUGGGACUGAGACACGGCCCAGACUCCUACGGGAGGCAGCAGUGGGGAAUUUUGGGCAAUGGGCGCAAGCCUGAUCCAGCAAUGCCGCGUGCAGGAAGAAGGCCUUCGGGUUGUAAACUGCUUUUGUACGGAACGAAACGGCCUGGGUUAAUACCCCGGGCUAAUGACGGUACCGUAAGAAUAAGCACCGGCUAACUACGUGCCAGCCGCCGCUGUAA
rnacentral:rRNA from 1 species